AACCCAUGGUGUGAGCAUCUUCACAAAAGGACCUUGUAUCUCUCCCAUGCAUCGUAGAGUGUCUCUAAAUCCAUCUGCACAAAAGAAGAGAUAUCAUCACGUAAUUU
rnacentral:snoRNA from 1 species